rnacentral:misc_RNA from 1 species
GAUGAAGAACGUAGCGAAAUGCGAUAAGUAAUGUGAAUUGCAGAAUUCAGUGAAUCAUCGAAUCCUUGAACGCACAUUGCGCCCGCCAGUAUUCUGGCGAGCAUGCCUGUUCGAGCGUCAUUUCAACCAUCAAGCCCCAGGCUUGUGUUGGAGCCCUGCGGCUGCCGCAGCCUCCCAAAACCAGUGGCGGGCUCGCUAUCACACCGAGUGCAGUAGUUUACUCUUCGCUCAGGGCGUGUGGCGGGUGCUAGCCGUGAAACCCCCAACUUCUCAAGGUUGACCUCGGAUCAGGUAGGAAUACCCGCUGAACUUAAGCAUAUCAAUAGCGGAGGA